AGGAUCUAUGAUGCUAUAUUGAAACUGCGUUAUCUUUCUGAAAGUUCCAGAAAGGAAUUGAAGAUAUUUAUAGUAUUUUGAGGUCAUGCU